GACGAACGCUGGCGGCGUGCUUAACACAUGCAAGUCGAACGGACGAGUGAGAUAAGUUUACUUAACUCACAAGUUAGUGGCGGACGGGUGAGUAACACGUGGAUAAUCUACCUGCAACACCGGGAUAACGCUGUGAAAACGGUGCUAAUACCGGAUACGUUCCCUUGUGCGCAUGUAUGAGGGAAGAAAGCUCAGGCGGUUGCAGAUGAGUCCGCGGCUGAUUAGCUAGUUGGUGAGGUAAAGGCUCACCAAGGCGAUGAUCAGUAGCCGGCCUGAGAGGGUGAACGGCCACACUGGGACUGAGACACGGCCCAGACUCCUACGGGAGGCAGCAGUGGGGGAAUCUUCCGCAAUGGGCGCAAGCCUGACGGAGCAACGCCGCGUGGGUGAAGAAGGCCUCGGGUUGUAAGCCUGUCUUAUGGGAAGAAGUCAGUGACGGUACCAUAGGAGGAAGCCACGGCUAACUACAUGCCAGCAGCCGCGGUAAAAGUACGUA
rnacentral:rRNA from 1 species